rnacentral:lncRNA from 1 species
GCAAAGUUAUGUAUUUUUGUUGGUUGAUCCCUGCAAAUAUAGUCCCUUUUGAGAUUAGGUCAUAUUUGUACACCAAAUACCUAUGAAACAUUAUCCUUUUUCAUUAACUACUCCAGCUAAUCUCAGGACAUAAUAUUGCAGCACCUUUGGUGUCCCAUCCAACUCAAAGCUAAUGCACUAUAGCUUAGAUGAUGGAUCCAUCAAAAUCAGCCCAAAAAUAGGGCCGAAUAAGGGUUCAUGGCUCGGUCGAUCUUGAGUCCCAAUCAGUUCGUCGGUGGCUGGGGCUCUUGUAUCGGCCAAAGGUCAACACAGGAGAAAGGCCGAGAGUUUUAGCGACGAGUGCCGACAGCGGCGGUGGUUAGAAAGAGAAAAAGAAGGCAGAACAAAGAAAAACAUAGGAUACUUUUCUUCGAGUGAUUUUUGGCUGAUUUCUCGGUCGGCUAUCGUGAUUUCAAGUUGUGGGAAGAAGAAAAAGGGAAGGGGAGGAAGAUCACGGUGUUACUUCAGCUCUGGAGGCGUGGAUGACCAUGAUUUCUGGUGAGUCUCGUGAACUCAAUAGAAAGAAGGAAGAAAAAG